rnacentral:lncRNA from 1 species
UACAAAGUUCUAAGACCACACUACCCCUAAAUUUUCAAAACAAAACAAAACAAACAUUUCGCCCAAUAUUCACCUAAAAACAUCUCCUAUCGUCCGAACCACACCCAUACAAAGUUCCUUCACUUCCGGCAUUUCUUGAGUUCCCUCGAGUUUCUUCACUUACAGCGGCGAUUUCCUUCACUUCUAACAACGUGUGUGAGUUAUUUUGGUUCUAGUAAAUUCAUUCACUUACGGUUUCGGUGGCUUAGGCACUUUCUUUGUUUUUUUCAUUAAUUUAGAAUAAAUUUUUGUUUAAAUUGCCUUGUUGGUUCAUCAUUGAUCAUAGUUAAUCAUUAGGAUGUGUACUAGGUAUGAAAAUAUGAAGUUUUUUUAAAGAUUAAGAUAUCUAAUAAAUGGCACACCAAGUGUAUGUUUAAAUGCCUCUAAGAAAUUAUUGAUCUAAACUUAGAAUUAUUUUGAGGUUAAAGAGAAGGUUGGUGUGCCAACCAAUCAAGAACGUGGAAGGUUGCCCGUGUUGCCUAAAAUUUAGCAUGUUGUCGCCCGAUUUUCCCGAGACCUGCAUAAUGCUUGACUAAACCAAGCAAAUGAUAGCUCUCUGGAAAAUCGGGCAACAAACUAUGUCGCCCAAACUAUGUCGCCCGGGCGACGCGCAUGUCACCACAUUGUCUGUUGACAACUUUAUGCGGGCGACACUGCUUGUCAUCCGAUUUUUCAGAUAGUUGCAUAAUGCUUGACAAAAUCAAGAAAAGAAUAACUCUCUGAAAAAUCAGGCGACGAGCCUGUCGCCACAAUGUCUAUUAGCUAUUUGAUGCGUGUGACAUGGGUUGUCACCCAAGCGACACAGCCUGUCGCUUUAUUUUUUUCGAGUGUUGUCAAUUGCUUGAUUGUAAUCAAUAACAUGACACCAUAAUUAAUCAACAUAAUAAAGUCAUUCCACAUUUAAAUAAUACAAGAUUUAUCAAAAUAAGAUCUUCUCAUAAGUUUUACAUGAUAAAGUUAUUCCAAAUUACAUAAUACAAUUUGUAAAUUUAAUAUAUCUUCGAACACACUAAAACACCAUUAAUGCAGAUUUGCUGGAAGGGGAUUCUCACACAUCUUUCGGUUAUGGCCACGCUCCCCGCACCAACCACAAGUUAUAGUAGAUCAAGGUCUCGGAUAUCCACACAUAUAAACAGUAUUCUUCGUGUUUUCUGUCGACUGGAAAAUGAUGGUACAUAUGGUAGAUUCACUUGCAAUGUUCGGACGUGUACUAUAAUUUCCUAAUUGUUCAAAUGUUG